UUAAUGGGUGAUAGCGUGCCUUUUGUAGAAUGAACCGGCGAGUUACGAUUUGUUGCAAGGUUAAGCGGAAAAAGCGGAGCCGUAGCGAAAGCGAGUCUGAAUAGGGCGCAUAAGUAACAGGUCGUAGACCCGAAACCAGGUGAUCUACCCAUGUCCAGGAUGAAGGUAAGGUAAUACUUACUGGAGGUCCGAACCCACGCACGUUGAAAAGUGCGGGGAUGAGGUGUGGGUAGCGGAGAAAUUCCAAUCGAACUUGGAGAUAGCUGGUUCUCUCCGAAAUAGCUUUAGGGCUAGCCUCGAGGUAAAGAGUCAUGGAGGUAGAGCACUGUUUGGACUAGGGGCCCUUCUCGGGUUACCGAAUUCAGAUAAACUCCGAAUGCCAUGUACUUAUACUCGGGAGUCAGACUGCGAGUGAUAAGAUCCGUAGUCGAAAGGGAAACAGCCCAGACCACCAGUUAAGGUCCCCAAAUAUAUGUUAAGUGGAAAAGGAUGUGGGGUUGCUUAGACAACCAGGAUGUUGGCUUAGAAGCAGCCACCAUUGAAAGAGUGCGUAAUAGCUCACUGGUCGAGUGACCCCGCGCCGAAAAUGUACCGGGGCUAAACAUAUUACC
rnacentral:rRNA from 1 species